rnacentral:rRNA from 1 species
AUUGAACGCUGGCGGCAGGCCUAACACAUGCAAGUCGAACGGUAACAGGGAUCAGCUUGCUGAUUCGCUGACGAGUGGCGGACGGGUGAGUAAUGUCUGGGAAACUGCCUGAUUGAGGGGGAUAACUACUGGAAACGUUAGCUAAUACCGCAUAACGUCGCAAGACCAAAUAGUGGGACCUUCCGGCCUCUUUCCUUCCGAUGUGCCCAGAUGGGAUUAGCUAGUAGGUGGGGUAACGGCUCACCUAGGCGACGAUCCCUAUCUGGUCUGAGAGGAUGACCAGCAACACUGGAACUGAGACACGGUCCAGACUCCUACGGGAGGCAGCAGUGGGGAAUAUUGCACAAAGGGCGCAAGCAUGAUGCAGGCAUGCCGAGUGUAUGAAGAAGGACGUCGGGUUGUAAAGUACUUUCAGCGGGGAGGAAGGGAGUAAAGUUAAUACCUUUGCUGAUUGACGUUACACGAAGAAGAAGCACCGGCUAACUCCGUG